CAGCCGCCGCGGGAAUACGAAGGGUGCAAGCGUUAAUCGGAAUUACUGGGCGUAAAGCGUGCGUAGGCGGUUUGUUAAGUCUGUUGUGAAAUUCCCGGGCUCAACCUGGGAAUGGCAAUGGAUACUGGCAAGCUAGAGUGUGUCAGAGGAUGGUGGAAUUCCCGGUGUAGCGGUGAGAUGCGUAGAGAUCGGGAGGAACAUCAGUGGCGAAGGCGGCCAUCUGGGACAACACUGACGCUGAGGCACGAAAGCGUGGGGAGCAAACAGGAUUAGAUACCCCCGUAGUCCCUGUCUCUUAUAC
rnacentral:rRNA from 1 species